rnacentral:rRNA from 1 species
AACGAACGCUGGCGGCAGGCCUAACACAUGCAAGUCGAGCGCCCCGCAAGGGGAGCGGCGGACGGGUGAGUAACACGUGGGAAUUUUCCUCAUGGUACGGAACAACUCAGGGAAACUUGGGCUAAUACCGUAUGAUGCAGAGAUGCCAAAGAUUUAUCGCCUUGGGAUAAGCCCGCGUCAGAUUAGGUUGUUGGUGGGGUAAUGGCAUACCAAGCCUGUGAUCUGUAGCUGGUCUGAGAGGACGAUCAGCCACACUGGGACUGAGACACGGCCCAGACUCCUACGGGAGGCAGCAGUGGGGAAUCUUGCGCAAUGGGCGAAAGCCUGACGCAGCCAUGCCGCGUGAAUGAUGAAGGUCUUAGGAUUGUAAAGUUCUUUCGCCCGUGACGAUGAUGACGGUAACGGGAGAAGAAGCCCCGGCUAACUUCGUGCCAGCAGCCGCCGUAAGAC